rnacentral:lncRNA from 1 species
CUGCUACCAUGUUUUUUUUUUUUUAAAUUAGUCAUCCUUAUGAGCAGUAAUGGUAUUCCAUUAUGUUAGUUUUCACUUAGUUGACAACUAAUAAACCUCAGCAUUUUUCCCUUUUUUCUUGUCAUUUGCAUAUUAAGUUUGUGAAGUCCUCUGGGCAUGUAAUUGGAUAUCUCCUUUGAAUAAUUUGUGAUAAUCUUAGAACAAUUAUAAUUGUUGAUAUGAACUAUUUGUUAAUAUUGAGUUAAUUAUAGGUAUUAAUACUUGGUUAAUAUUUGUAAUGCAUAAAGGAGAAAAAAUAUUGGCAUUUGCAUGUAAACAGAUGGAGUUGGAGAAUAUCAUGCUAAGUGAGGUAAGCCAUUCCCCCCAAACCAAAGGCCAAAUGUUUUCUCUGGUAAGUGGAUGCUGACCCAUAAUGGGGGUGGGGGGAUCACGGGAGGAAUGGAGGAACUUUGGAUAGGAUAAAGGGGAAGAAAGGGAACAUUAGGGAGAGGGCAUAGGCAUAGGAAAGAUGGUGGAAUGACAUGGACAUCAUUACCCUAGGUACAUGUAUGAAGACAUGAAUGAUGUGACUGACUUUGUGAACAACCAGAGAAAUGAAAAAUUGUGCUCCAUAUGUGUACUAUGAAUUGAAAUGCAUUCUGCCAUCAUUUAUAAUAAAUUGGAACAAAAAUAUAUUCAAUAAUUAAAAUAUUUGUAAUGCAGAGAUUUUUUUCCUAU